UAAUGUCUGGGAAACUGCCUGAUGAGGGGGAGUAACUACUGGAAACGAUAGCUAAUACCGCAUAACGUCGCAAGACCAAAGAGGGGGACCUUCGGGCCUCUUGCCAUCGGAUGUGCCCAGAUGGGAUUAGCUAGUAGGUGGGGUAACGGCUCACCUAGGCGACGAUCCCUAGCUGGUCUGAGAGGAUGACCAGCCACACUGGAACUGAGACACGGUCCAGACUCCUACGGGAGGCAGCAUG
rnacentral:rRNA from 1 species